rnacentral:misc_RNA from 1 species
GAAAAUGGAAUGAAACUGAAGAGCAUGGCAGAAAACCCCUGGGUGAAGUACCAGUGCCAUUUGUGAGUUCCAUAGAAAUCUCCUCCAGAGGAAAGAACAUUGAACUUCAGAAAAUUAAGAGGGACCAAUAUCCAGGAGCCAUACAUUAAUCUAUCUAACAAACACGUAAUCCCAAGCACCAACGACCCAAUAGGAGCAGCCUCUAAGAAAAUAAAUCUUAGUCGAUCAUUUGCUGAAAACAGC